CAAUUGCAAUCUACUAUUGCCAGAUGCCAUGGCCUAAUAUUGCUAGAAUCAAGGAAAGGAUCCAUUGAUUCUCUACUUAAUCCUUUUUCCCAUCUUUCCUAGUCAUUGGAUCAUGGAUUCUGACAGAAUAGUAGUCUGAUUUGGCUAGAAAAAAAAAUGCUUUGUUUGGUUUUCAAAUAUUUGUUUUUGGAUUUUUCAAGCCCUAUUCUUUUUUUUCUGACCAUCUCCGCUGC
rnacentral:lncRNA from 1 species